rnacentral:rRNA from 1 species
UGCCGCAUAAGCGCCACCCGGUCGCGCGCAGUCAGGGUUUGGGUUUGGGGUUUCGUCUCCUCUCUCAUCAUGACACCAGACAUCACCCCCAUGAGGCUUCGAACGGAGCAUGCUAAGAAGGGAGGGGGUACCGCCUCCGCCUUAGCCGCGGGCCUGCGCCUCCCCGCCCGCUCCUGCGCUACCUGCGGCGGCCAGGGCGCGGCCGCCUCCGGCAGGGGCAGGGGCUGCAAUUGUACUUGGGAGAGUUCUCCGGUAGCCUCAGCACACGAGUUCCUCUGCUUCGUCUGCCCGUCUUCGCCGUCUUCUGUCUCAGAGUUCAAAAGUGUGGGUCUUCUAUGGUCGAGCUACAGAAACUCCAACGGUUCCGCGCUUUGUGCUAACGUUACGAACUGUGUCCUCGGCCCUUCUGCUACUAACGGCACUACGAGUACUUUCUCAAACCCUUUUUCUAGCUGUUUAGUUUAUUGUUACCCUUCUAGUAUAAGGAACGUGGUUGUCAAGUCGAGCAGUGAGUCGUUACGCUCCACUAAUUUUGGGUGUGUCUAAAACUCCACCUUGACAUAACGCCACGGAGCCCCCAACUAGUGACCUGCGGAGUCUCUACCUUUCUUUUUCAUAGCUUUAGAGUCCAGUACCACUACUAUGGUCUACACAACGAUUCACGAAAUCCGUUUCGAAAGAACUCGAACCUGUACCAAUCAGAAUACUAUAAACUACUCACGGUAGCACGUUGACCGUUUGUGGGAAUAAGCUCUUAUUACUUCCUGAUGAUAGUGGUUAGACUGGUGUUCGGUUUCCACAAACCAUACUGCCGGAGCGGACAAUAUUCUUUUCCACAGAGAAGAUUAGACCUAACACUUCAAGUCAAGUGACUUGACCUUUUCGAAGAUUUACGAUUCUAGAUGCGACACCGACUAUCUCGUCUCUAUCUCGAAACGCGAGGAAGACGUUUUCUUCACCUGUCUAUGAUACUGGGUUUUUGACAAACAAAGUUCCUAAACUCACUUCUCAACCCUAAAAACGUAAGGCUCAUGCUACGUAAUUAUUGAUGUAACGUCUUAUUCGGAUUGAUGGUCUUAUUUCUUAGGCUACUUUAUCGAUUUCUUAGUGUCUCCGCAGAUAGGUUAAGAAGUCGGUUUUAGGACAUAACGUAGCUACUAUAACCAGAAGAAACACGAUCACUCCAGUGGUUUUAGAUGUAACUUUCCCCUGUCUCUUGUCCAACCGACUUCUUUCGAAGACUACGGUGUUUAUAAGUUUCACAACGUUUAUCGAGCAAGGACGAACGUCUUUAAAGUCGCGAAGUAGACUUCAAGAAACUCCUAUACAGUGCAUAUUAACUGUUCGUAGAGGUCGUUCCAUCGCUACACGAAGAUUUAAGACUCUCACCUACACACCUUCGUUAAUUCUGCCCAAUAUAAAGUGGUUUCGAAAUACUUGAGUAGGUUUAGAAGGCGAGAAAGUCAUUGACACUAGUACAGGCUACGGAGUAAAAACACCUAGCUUUCUAGUGACGAUCUCGGUACCUUGCCUGUUACUUCUUUUAACCUGUGGAGAGUGUAAAAUGUAAAAGAAGAGAAUGACCUCCCUCAAGAAGUCACCUGCGAGACUGGGGAUUUUACGUCUUCCUGUGUGACCUAAGUAAAGCGAGGCCUUUCCACUUGAAUGAUAAAUGAUGCCUACAGCGCCUUCUCCCAUAACUACAGUGUCUGACGAGCACACAUUAUUCUAAACUAAACGGUUUCUGAUGGGCAUCAAUAUACGUCAGUGCACCUGCUCGUGCCGUCUUCCUGAGAGUCAUGUAUGAUUACUAACUUUCCCUUUUACAAUUUGUUUUAUUAAACUAUAGACGGUAAAACUCUUCGCUCUUCAGUUACUAACUCUGACGAAACUUGUCUCUAAGGCUCCUAGAUGAGGGACCAAAGAAGGGACAACUUCUUUUUUUACUUAUGGAACAACCGUGUUGGCCUCGUUUUCAUUGACGACCAAGAUCGUAAUCACAAUAGCAGGUUAUGACACUGUUCGAAGACCCCCUGUUCAUGCUGUGGUGUUUUGGAAACAAACUCAAGUGGUUGGUACCACUACCAAAACACACAUGCAAUUACGAUGGUAGAUCACUGUACAACGGUGGAAACCACCCAGGUUUUCGUUCUUUGUUCUUCUUUCGUUUUGUCGAACAAACAGAACUACGUACAUGUUGGUUUGCUUUUCUCGAUGUACCAUGUUGAUCUCAUACACCCAACAGACCAUGGACCCGUAGUCUCUCUUGACGACAAUUCGAAGUUCCGAUGUCCUACUUUAAAGAAACACUGGUUCAACCAGUCUUUAUGAGAUUAAAACAAGACAAUUAACUAUUUUGAUAUCGUGUACUUCGACGAUUAAACCUGUAACUAGACAAAGAUGUACUGUUCUACCACUUUCGAAGUCAUAGAGGAACACCGGAAAAACUCAACCUACAAGUUGUCGACCUCGUUCGUUUCGAUAAAGUUCGUGAAGACAAGUUACCAAACAAGCCUUUCAACAAGUGACCUAGUUUUAGUAGGCCGCAAGGUGCCCUCAAAUAAGAGUCAUUUCUACUGUGCAAAUAGACCUUAUUAGGUUUAUACAUAAACUAAAAUGGAUACCUAGGAUGACACCUCAGGGUACUGUAAAGUACGUAGUUGACCUCUCACUAACUACUUCGGCGAUGUCGACAAUUUGAAAACUCCUUCUAAAUAAGACUUCUUUUUUACUUGUAUGACCCUUAAGAACUAAAGCUGGUUUUACUACUUCUAGAUUAAGUAAACCGGUUGUGUAGUACACUCCGAGUAAAGGAAUCUUUACACCAUCACGACCGUCAAGUGUGUCCUUUCUAUAUAUGACGAGAAGUACAACGACUAAAUAGACGAUUAUCGUGUAAACUACCACGUCGUCUACUCUUUCCUUGUCUUAAGGUAUGGAAACGUCUUAUGAAACUUUUCUUCAUACUGUAUCAAGAAGCAGUAGGGAGUGUCGGUAAUGAUCACGACUUUGGUUCAGUAUCCGGAGUGUUGUAGGAAAGGAGCUUCGAGUCUCUACUUCCAUUGCCACUCUUCUUUUUCCCACUGUGUAGUCUAUAUUGAUUCCGUUUGUUGGCACAAGUGUACGGGGGUCUCAACGACUAAGGGGAAUUAAAAAGACUACUGUAAAAUUCUUGUAAAAUAAACAAGGGUAGAAACUACGUAGCAUAUCUCUGUAAUUACGAUCGGUCAGUUGAUUUCUCACUUUAAAGUAUACUGCUAAGAUUACAUAGUUCGAAAGACUAAGAUCUUCGAUAGUGUUGAGAAGCUACGAGACUUCUGAAGAGUUACCUCGCAGACCUUAAUAACCCUCUAAGACACAACUUCAUACAGCAAUCAACAGUGGAAAAGGAUUUUAAAGGAUUGUACCUACUCCCGGUCAAUUGUAGGUCAUCCCAACUAUAUUAUAGAUUACGACGUGAAAUACCCAAACCUUAACUUGUGUUUUAUGUCCCAAUAUAUGCACUACGACGUAAACUAGGAGCAGCUACCGAACGUGGUCCUGUCGAGAGGUAAGUAGGACAAGGAACAUUAACGGCUCAUUUAAGACUCCAACAGUGACUCCUAUAAUUACACUUUCAUCCGGUCGACACACUAUUCCCUGUGUCUACCUACACAAGGUUUUGUUAAAGACUAACGCAGCUUCGAUAUUAGCCACGCAUAAUACAUCUUCCACCGAAUUCUCGUCGUUACCGACAAGAGUUUACCAACCCUUAAUUACAACUUCAACUCCUUCUUAACUAACCAGUCAAGAACUCACGUAGACACGUCUGAAUAGAAGGUUUUUUACUACAUUAACUUUUCCAACUUCGUUUUGAUCCGAUACAUAAAAACUACUUUCCAGAAGACGAUCUUCGAGAAUGGGUGGGUAGUGACGUCCUUAGUCGUCUUCCUAUAAGGAUGCUCGCAGACCUCAAGGAACCACUACGACAGAACCUAUAAGAGAAUUGUGCUGUAGAAAAGAUAUCAGUAUUUCUGUGGCUACUCCCCCUCGACUGUCUAAAUGCCAGACGUAGUCAUUUGUUACUUUUAAAACGUGUUGAGCGUCACUUCGUAUUCAAUAUAGUCAAAGAGGUCGUAAGAAGACCCUUUAAUGGUCUUUUAUAAUGACUUAUACACCUAUCAAAUCUCUUGGGAAGGUACCUGUUUCAGUUGGAAAAUAGUCUACGCCGUAAUUCUCCCGGAUUCCAAGACCCACUACAACAUCUUUCAUAACGCCCACGUUAAGAAUAUCUAUCUUUUGAACUAAACCUCCAUCAAACCCCAUAAAAGUUUGGAGAAGAAAGGGGAUAACAAUGUGGACUCUUCGACCUCAAUGGAGGGAAGUCUCUCGAAGAGCUUACCACGUUGUUUUCACCCAUGAAAGAUCCUUAAUUCACAUGUCUACCUUAAUUCGCAUGUCUACCUCUGUUUUAUCUCCGAUGAGACCUACACGUUGAGUUCCUCUGCGAGGAACAGUCCGUUCCAACACCGUUCUCGUUUUUCCUACGAUUUCGUGUACGUCGAAGGUACAAUGAGUUCCUGGAACUCCACCUUCCUGAAUAUCAUGGUUUCUUACGUUCGUUGUGCGUUGUCAAGGUCCUAGUAGCAUUGUAAAAACUACGUUACCUAUAUGUUGAAAGUUGUGGUUGGUCCCCUUUCUCUAGUCGACCUAGUUUCUAUCGGCGGUCAGAACUAUUUGGUCACCUGACCGGCCACUCUUACUCGUUUCCUCCUGGGGCACGUCCUGACAUACUCAAGACGUUUUUCAACGUUACCGGUCGAGGAUUAAAGCUAACACGCUUCCAUCUUGUUUCACACGGAUGCGGAGUUCCAGUUCCCAAGUGGAAGCGCAGUUGGUAUUUUGACGUGUAUGGCUUAUCACUACACUAGUCGGAGUGUCCCCUAACAAAACGCCUAUUCUUCUCGCGCUACCUAAGGCGGCGUGACGAGUACGAGAUACUCGAAGUCGUCGCUCCCUCUAACGUUCAGGUCCUCUAAGUACAAAGCACUCUCGGCAGACACUACGAUCAUUUAUAAUCAUAAGGGGUAACUGGCCCUUCAAACCUUCUCCGUGCACACCGUAGUAGGCUUAUUGCCUACGACUCCUACCUAUGAACACUCUCCGUCCUGUGUCGACUCGACUGGACCGAGACGACGGUCAGCGAUACAUACAACAUGAAACAAUUUUUUUUACAUACAACACGAACCGAAGUAUAUAACCGACGCCGUCCUUUACUACUCGGCUUCACGACGUUCAGGUGACAGAUAGUCAUGAAUUGUCCGCGUCAGUAAUAUAGAACCUACUAG